CCUACGGGCGGCUGCAGUGGGGAAUUUUGGACAAUGGGGGCAACCCUGAUCCAGCCAUUCCGCGUGAGUGAAGAAGGCCUUCGGGUUGUAAAGCUCUUUUGUCCGGAGCGAAACGGGCGGCCCUAAUACGGUCGUCUACUGACGGUACCGGAAGAAUAAGCACCGGCUAACUACGUGCCAGCAGCCGCGGUAAUACGUAGGGUAAGAGCGUUAAUCAGAAUUUGCGGGCGUAGUGCUGGAACAGACGGGUGAAAUCCCCGGGCUCAACCUGGGAAUGGCAUUUGGGACUGCAAGGCUGGAGUGUGGCAGAGGGGACUAGAAUUCCUGGUGUAGCAGUGAAAUGCGUAGAUAUCAGGAGGAAUACCGAUGGCGAAGGCAGGUCCCUGGGUUAACACUGACGCUCAUGCACGAAAGCGUGGGGAGCAAACAGGAUUAGAUACCCCAGUAGUC
rnacentral:rRNA from 1 species